rnacentral:ncRNA from 1 species
UGAAAUGCAUUGAUGAGGAGGAGUACAUACUUACUGAAAGCAUAGAGAGAAGAUGGUUGGUGUAAAUCUUCAUGAAGGAAGUAUGGAAGUAGCCUUUGAGCAGUGAACCGAACAAAGUGUAGCAUAAGCUAUUUUAUCUUUAAGUAGACUUCACCGGAAGUUUCCACCGUUAAAAGGAAAUCGGUAUCGGAUGUAUAUCCCGUACUGAAUAGAGAGCAAAUACUUUUGUAUUUGAAUUUAGGUGGUAACACGGAUUAUGCAUGAUUCGCCCUAAGC